UGGGGAAUAUUGGACAAUGGGCGCAACCCUGAUCCAGCAAUGCCGCGUGUGUGAAGAAGGCCUGAGGGUUGUAAAGCACUUUCAGUGGGGAGGAGGGUUGAUAGGUUAAGAGCUGAUUAACUGGACGUUACCCACAGAAGAAGCACCGGCUAACUCCGUGCCAGCAGCCGCGGUAAUACGGAGGGUGCGAGCGUUAAUCGGAAUUACUGGGCGUAAAGGGUGAGUAGGUGGUUUGAUAAGUUAUGUGUGAAAUUCCUGGGCUCAACCUGGGGUGGUCAGAUAAGACUGUUGAACUAGAGUAUGGGAGAGGGUAGUGGAAUUUCCGGUGUAGCGGUGAAAUGCGUAGAGAUCGGAAGGAACACCAGUGGCGAAGGCGGCUACCUGGCCUAAUACUGACACUGAGUCACGAAAGCGUGGGGAGCAAACAGGAUUAGAUACCCCCGUAGUCC
rnacentral:rRNA from 1 species